CGAGUGAGCGGGAAGAGCUCAAAUUUGAAAUCUGGUGGCCUCAGGUCAUCCGAGUUGUAAUCUAUAGAAGUGUUUUCCGUGCUGGCUCAUGUACAAGUCCCUUGGAACAGGGCGUCAUAGAGGGUGAGAAUCCCGUCCUUGACAUGAACUACCAGUGCUCUGUGAUACAUUUUCAACGAGUCGAGUUGUUUGGGAAUGCAGCUCAAAAUGGGUGGUAAAUUCCAUCUAAAGCUAAAUAUUGGCGAGAGACCGAUAGCGAACAAGUACCGUGAGGGAAAGAUGAAAAGCACUUUGGAAAGAGAGUUAAACAGUAUGUGAAAUUGUUGAAAGGGAAACGAUUGAAGUCAGUCGUGCUCUUUGGAUUCAGCCGGUUCUGCCGGUGUACUUCCUUUGAGUGGGGUCAACAUCAGUUUUGAUCGCUGGAUAAAGGCGGGAGGAAUGUAGUACCCUCGGGUAAACUUAUAGCCUCUUGUCACAUACAGUGGUUGGGACUGAGGAACGCAGCAUGCCUUUAAGGCCGGGAUUCGUCCACGUACAUGCUUAGGAUGUUGACAUAAUGGCUUUAAACGACCCGUCUUGAAACACGGAC
rnacentral:rRNA from 1 species